CAUGACACGCACAAGGAUGCUUCAAAACACAGAGAAUGGUAGUGGAUGGAAGAUGACAGUGGAAGUCUGAAAUGCACUUAAAGUGUUUGUGAAAAUGUUUGGUAAUGUUUGGAUGAAUGUUUUGGUAGAUUUCUAGCUCAGACAGCCUUCCAAAAGGGAAAGGAGCUAGAGGAGGUACUAGAUAACAAAGCAUAGAGGUGAACUUGAGAGUGACAGCUGAAAAUUGGCAGCAUUUCUUUACUUCAUUCAAGUUGGUUUACAAGAGAUCUAAGCUUCUCUUUUAUAGAUAGAGAUAACUUAAAUCCAUUCAAGGCAAGCUAGCUUAUAAUGCAUUUGAAUGUUAUUGAAAACACUGAGCGUUGGGAAGGUGUGACUGGGCGCUCCUUUGUAUUUUCUAAUCCGGAAGUUACUUGGCCAAUCCGUAUGCAUCUUUCUUGCUUCCAAUGUCUAACAUUGUUUAGGUGCUUCCCCAAGGUUUGCCACCAUUGGAACAACAUCACAUAAAAUAUUUUCUUCAUAUUUGCCAAUGGAUAUUGGUAUGGUUACUUGUGUGUUCACUACUAUUUCUUCAUCCUCUGUUAUCCAC
rnacentral:lncRNA from 1 species